GGUGGAAACGAGCCGAGCUCGAGCGAGCUUAUGUCAGCUCAAAUUCGACUUGAAAUUAAUUUCGAGCCUAAAUCUAGGCUCAAGCUCGGCUUGAAAUUAAUUCGAGCCGAGCUCGAGCGAGUCCAAUUUCGAGUAGAGCCGAGCUCGAGCUCUAAACGAGCCGAUUGAAAUUCUCGACAUAAUAUAAUCAAUAGUUUAAUUUUUAUAGUACAUUACCUAUAAUUUGAUACAACAUGUUCAAUAGUUCAAAAUAUAAAAUAAUUGUAAGAAAUGUGAGCUAGGGUGACUGUCUGACUGGGUGAGAGUGAGAGAGAGAGAGAGAGAGGGAAAAAAAUUAGGGAUUUGAAAAUUUGAAUAUUAUCAUGUUUUAAGGUUAUGUGCAACAGUGAAAAUCUGAAAGAGGGAGUGUGUUAUGUAAAUUUAGAGUUGGGCUCAAUUGCACGGUUGUACUUGUUAGGUUUAUUUUAUGGGCCAACAAUAAUGGCCCAAAUUAAAUUAAAGCCUAUACAUAAUUAAAAUACAUUUUAUAUAUAUAUAUAUUUCGAGCUUUCGAGCUUUUCGAGCCUAAUUCGAACGAGCCGAGUAAUACUCAAGCUCGGCUUGAAAUGAAUUUCGAGCCUUUUAUUUUGUUCAAGCUC
rnacentral:lncRNA from 1 species